UCUUCUCCUCUCCUCUCCUCUCUUCUCCUCUCCUUUUCCACUCAAAACCCUAGUUUUUCCCCCAAAAAAAGAAACGAAAUCGCUCUCCCCCCAUUUCCUCUCGCGCUAGGGCUUACAUUUCCCCCCUAAUUCUCCAAUCGAUCGAGGCCUAGGGUUUCGGAGACGACGCGAAUCGCUCGUCGGUCGCACAAUUUUUAAUCAAGAACGUCACUUUUGAAGAAUGGCUUUUCGAGCUCCGGCCGUCGUUCAAAAUGAAAAUGUGCCCAUCAACAGAGGAAAAGCUGUCGAUGGGUUGAAGGCCGAUUUGCCGAAGCCGGCAAAGACCGGACUAAAGGAGAGAAAAGCUCUCGGAGAUCUUUCGAACACAAGGAAAGCUUUGAGGGAUCUCUCAAACACCGGGAAACCUCCGGUUUCUGGCGUAACAAAGGGCAGUGCUUUGAAAGAGAAGAGCGGAAUACGUGCCCCUCAGGCUGUUAAGAACGCCUCGAAGAGUAGUUUCCUGACCGAUGAAGACGUUAAGAAAUGUCGGGAGUGGGCGAAGGAAGGAAUCGAGCGGACCCAAUUCGCCGGAAAUGACGUUCAGGAAAUGCAAAAGGAACUUGUCGAUAAACGCGUCAAGAAGAAAGUUGACAAGGUAAUGUCUGCUGUGCAUGAGUGGUCAGGGUCAAUAUAUGAUCUUGUGCUUCCACUGAAGGAAGCUGCUGAGGAUACUGAUGAUGUGAAAAAGAUGGAAUUGGAACCGGAGGUUGCUCUUCCUCAUGUUGACAGAUGGCUCUCAAGAUCGAGUGACAAGCUUUUUGAUGAUCUUAUCGAAGCCGAGCUUGCUGAACUCCCAUUCAUCGAUCAUCCUGUUGAGUUCAAGCUGAAAGAUUUCUUGGAGUCAGGCAAGGAUGGUUCCAAGCCAGAGUGAUUUCGCGUGGACGGCAGUUUGGUGGCUACGGCUCGACUAACUCAGAAUUCAUGUUUAAGUACCGAGACGAUAUUUGUUACAAUUCAUUUCCUAAUGCGGCAAAAUCAGAAUUUGGUUGUAGUUAUACGGGCUCGGAGAUCAUUCACUUUCUGUAUUACAUAGAAGUUCGAAACUCUGACCUUAUGGUGGGUGCUUAAGCACACCAUCGCGCUGCAGUUUACUGCUCAAGAUAGGUACGGGCCGUGCCGUGCCACGAGGUCGUCCCCUGGACUAGCACUAGUACAAAUUUUUAAUUUUUUUUUUAAAAUAUUUUAAUGUUUUAAAAUAUAACCAAGACAAGGAACUUACUCAGAAAAGUCCUCACAAAUGAUGAUUGAGAUGAGAUUCAGCAUUUCAAAACCACGAAACGCUUGGUUUGCAUUCGGAUUGAAUGAAUACCAGAAUCUCUUAUUUUAUUUUAGCAUGCUAUAUUUGCUUUGCUCUUCUUUUUUGGACAAAUUUGGCAACCUUAUUGUCGCAUCGCUUCAUAAUAACUCUGUAAAGCUUACGCAAUAAUUUCCUUCGGAUUGAGCCA